AAACCAUAGGGGGUCCAGCCUGCCCAGUGACACCAGUUCAACGGCCGCGGUAUCCUGACCGUGCGAAGGUAGCGUAAUCACUUGUCUUUUAAAUUAAGACUAGUAUGAAAGGCACCACGAGAAUCACACUGUCUCCUUUUUCUAAUCUGUGAAACUAAUCUUCCCGUGAAGAAGCGGGAAUUUUCACAUAAGACGAGAAGACCCUAUGGAGCUUCAGACAAAAUAAUGCUUUCCCCCCCCCCCCAAUUUUCUUUAAAGAAAAACAUUUACUCGAUACCAAUUAUUAAGUCUUAGGUUGGGGCGACCACGGAGUAAAAAUUACCCUCCGUGCUGAACAGGACCUCCUUAAAUAAGAGCCACAGCUCUACGAAUCAAUAAAUUGACAAUAUUUGACCCAAUUAUCUUGAUCAACGAAACAAGUUACCCUAGG
rnacentral:rRNA from 1 species